CCUGGAAGUGGGCCUACUCAGCCGUUCUCCUUUUUCUGGCUGACAAACCACCUCACCACUGGCCUGGGAUUCUCAACGGCUGAUCCGUGGGCGUGAUGAGCACAUCGAGGCUCCAAGAGAAUAAGGAAGGGCCCAAGGUCUCUUAAAUGGGAAAGCCCAGUCUGAAUGUCAGGUUCCCAGGCUCAAGGUCUUCACCAAAGCACAUCCAGAGGUGCCACACUGGAGAUCUGUUUUACCUUGAGCGAGUCAUCUCGCUUCCGAAUUUCCUGUCUCCAUUUGAAAACUGGACAUGAACUAAGAUUUCGCUUACAAGUUGUUGUGAGCAUCUGCUGAGUUGAGCUCUGGGCUCUGCUUGCCUCCGAAAGGAAGACAAGAAGAAAACAUUUAGUAAUGAAACCAAGAAAGCAAGCU